AGAGCGGCCAGGGAGGAAGAAGGGAGCAACUGGAGAAAGGACAGGGACCCAGCUGAGAAGGAGCAGCCGGGGGGGCAGGGGAAAGCCACAGCGAACCUUCCAGAAGGCAUGGCCACCUGGUUUCUGUGCUGUUGUCAGGGCGGACCGGGGUGGGGGCAGGUGACGCCCCAGGGCUAGCAACAGGGAGCCCCAGGACCUUGACUUGGUCUCUGGGAAGCUCUGGGAAGGGCCACCUGCUGACAGUGAUCGGGGUGGGGGCAGGGGGAUGGGAGAGGGAACCAGAGACGUUGAGUCAUAGGCAUCCUUGGUUUUGUGGAAGGACAGUGGAGAAAAGAUGCAGUGUUGCAGGGAGAUGAGGGUCCGGGGAGGCCCUGCCAUGAGGUUGGAGGGGUCAUGACGUGUCACAAUGAGCCACCAGAGGAUGCAGAGAAGGGGCUGGGGCUUCGGGGAAGCAGGAAGGACCCAGAGCCCGGGUCGGGUGCUCCUCAGAGAGACGCGGAGGAAAGGGGUGAGCAUGCAGCCUGUCUCCAGAUGCUCGUAAACAGCCGUGCCUACAGGGUGGCCACAGAGACCUUCUCGAAAACGUUGCCAAUGGCGCAGUGAUUGGCCUCUAUCUGCAAGGACCUCGAUGUCCUAUUUGGGAAAAUUGUUUAGUCAUGAGUGCAAUCUGUGUGAGAUGCAACAGCAAGCGAGGGUUGCGAGAAAUGAUCUGACUUGCAUUACAACUCCUAGGCCGGGAAGGCUCUGUUGGGUGACCGCUCCCUGUAUUUUUCCAUCAGCGGCAAAGUCGUUAGUGGCAUAAAGUGUCACUAACACGUGAAAGGAUGACCAGAGGAGAGAGACUCAUUCCACUUGACCAACCCAAACACCUGUGGAUCGGGUUAGGUGCUUCUUAUCCCUUGGUUCUGCAAGUAGGUUCUAGAAUCUCUCAAAGCAGAAUCGGGAGCAUCGCAGGGCUCCAGAAAAAUCUGCUGGCCCUACAGCCUGCUGCCUCCCAGCGCGGGAAGACCGCCCCUGUUCUUCCUUUCCUACCUUGUGCCGAACAACUAGAAGUGAGGGAGGGUAGGUGGGCGUCUGAAGCAACCGCAGGAGCCGCAGGACCACGGAGAGCCGGUGCCUACCCCCCAGCCAGCGGGGAUGUCUCUGCGCCUGUCAUCACAGAGCCUGGCUAGUUAAGAAGAAAUGUGGAUUUUGCUUUAGCCUAAUGAAGCUUUGCCGUUUUUAAAGGACAUCACACUGUGAUCGCCACGGUCGCGUUAAAAGAUAAUGCUAGCCGGUGUUGUGCGCGUUAUUUUUAGCACGAAGCCUAACGUACAAUCUCAAGUUAGGCAGCAGGAUCCUUGGGCCUCCCCAGGGUCUCAUUAAAAUGAGAUGUUUCCCUCUAGAGGUUCACUCGGUAAGCAAUGUUUAAACUUUGUAAUCAGGCUGCCCUGAGUUGCCAUUCGAGAAACAGUUUUGAAAACAAAUCCUCCGUCAGACUGUGGCUGGUGCCCUGACAGUCGAAUCCCAGUGACUUCAAAUGUAGGGAGAAAAUGAUCUUUGAAUGAAAGGUGUCGAGAGCUUUCAGUGCUCUAAUUAAGAUCUAAGAAGGUACGUAUCCAGCUAGAAAGUCACCACCGCAUUAAAUUAUACUCUCCUGAGUAAGCCAACAUCAGCUUAACGGCAUUUUCCGGGUAACGAGGUUGUGAACGCUAAUCCUGAUUUUGAAUGCGGGUUGGGUAUUAACUGCUUCGACUAGAAAAGGCUGGGAUUCUGAGAAUAAGACCACUUUUAAAAUUAGUCAAGAUUGUCUUUAUAGCUGGCAGACAGCCACACCUGUGAUAAAACAGGGCUCGUCGUCUACUCAGCUUUCCGUUGCUGAGCAC
rnacentral:lncRNA from 1 species